CCUACGGGAGGCAGCAGUAGGGAAUGUUGCGCAAUGGGCGAAAGCCUGACGCAGCAACGCCGCGUGAACGAGACGGACGUCGGGGUGGAAAGAUCUGUAAGUGGGGACGAAAAAUGACGGUACACACAGAGGAAGCACCGGCGAACGCCGGGCCAGCAGCCGCGGUAAUACGGAGGGUGCAAGCGUGGUCCGGAAUCAUUGGGCGUAAAGAGUUCGUAGGCGGCAUGUCAAGGCAGGUGUUAAAGGCGCAGGCUCAACCUGUGUAUGGCACUUGAUACUUGCAAGCUGGAAGGCGGUAGAGGUCACGGUAAUUCCUGUUGUAGCGGUGCACUGCUUAGUUUUCAGGCGGACCUUCGGUGGCGUACGCGCUUUACUGUGCCGUACUUGACGCUGCGGCACG
rnacentral:rRNA from 1 species